AUACUUACCUGGCAGGGGAGGUACCAUGAUCACGAAGGUGGUUUUCCCAGGGCAAGGCUUAUCCAUUGCACUCCAGAUGUGCUGACCCCUGCGAUUUCCCCAAAUGUGGGAAACUCGACUGCAUAAUUUGUGGUAGCAGGGGACUUCAUGCACGCUUUCCCCUG
rnacentral:snRNA from 1 species